rnacentral:rRNA from 1 species
GACGAACGCUGGCGGCGUGCUUAACACAUGCAAGUCGAACGCUGAAGCUUGGUGCUUGCACUGGGUGGAUGAGUGGCGAACGGGUGAGUAAUACGUGAGUAACCUGCCCUUGACUCUGGGAUAAGCCUGGGAAACUGGGUCUAAUACUGGAUACGACAUGCCACUGCAUGGUGGUGUGUGGAAAGGGUUUUACUGGUUUUGGAUGGGCUCACGGCCUAUCAGCUUGUUGGUGGGGUAAUGGCCUACCAAGGCGACGACGGGUAGCCGGCCUGAGAGGGUGACCGGCCACACUGGGACUGAGACACGGCCCAGACUCCUACGGGAGGCAGCAGUGGGGAAUAUUGCACAAUGGGCGGAAGCCUGAUGCAGCGACGCCGCGUGAGGGAUGACGGCCUUCGGGUUGUAAACCUCUUUCAGCAAGGAAGAAGCGAGAGUGACGGUACGUGCAGAAGAAGCGCCGGCUAACUACGUG